rnacentral:rRNA from 1 species
AGGGUUCGAUUCUGGCUCAGGAUGAACGCUGGCGGCGUGCUUAACACAUGCAAGUCGAACGGGAUCCAUCAGGCUUUGCUUGGUGGUGAGAGUGGCGAACGGGUGAGUAAUGCGUGACCGACCUGCCCCAUGCACCGGAAUAGCUCCUGGAAACGGGUGGUAAUGCCGGAUGCUCCAUCACAUCGCAUGGUGUGUUGGGAAAGCCUUUGCGGCAUGGGAUGGGGUCGCGUCCUAUCAGCUUGAUGGCGGGGUAACGGCCCACCAUGGCUUCGACGGGUAGCCGGCCUGAGAGGGCGACCGGCCACAUUGGGACUGAGAUACGGCCCAGACUCCUACGGGAGGCAGCAGUGGGGAAUAUUGCACAAUGGGCGCAAGCCUGAUGCAGCGACGCCGCGUGAGGGAUGGAGGCCUUCGGGUUGUAAACCUCUUUUGUUAGGGAGCAAGGCACUUUGUGUUGAGUGUACCUUUCGAAUAAGCACCGGCUAACUACGUGCCAGCAGCCGCGGUAAUACGUAGGGUGCAAGCGUUAUCCGGAAUUAUUGGGCGUAAAGGGCUCGUAGGCGGUUCGUCGCGUCCGGUGUGAAAGUCCAUCGCUUAACGGUGGAUCCGCGCCGGGUACGGGCGGGCUUGAGUGCGGUAGGGGAGACUGGAAUUCCCGGUGUAACGGUGGAAUGUGUAGAUAUCGGGAAGAACACCAAUGGCGAAGGCAGGUCUCUGGGCCGUUACUGACGCUGAGGAGCGAAAGCGUGGGGAGCGAACAGGAUUAGAUACCCUGGUAGUCCACGCCGUAAACGGUGGAUGCUGGAUGU